UACGUAGGGUGCGAGCGUUAAUCGGAAUUACUGGGCGUAAAGCGUGCGCAGGCGGUUCGUUAAGUCAGAUGUGAAAGCCCCGGGCUUAACCUGGGAACUGCGUUUGAAACUGGGAGACUUGAGUGUGGCAGAGGGGGGUGGAAUUCCACGUGUAGCAGUGAAAUGCGUAGAUAUGUGGAGGAACACCGAUGGCGAAGGCAGCCCCCUGGGUUAACACUGACGCUCAUGCACGAAAGCGUGGGGAGCAAACAGG
rnacentral:rRNA from 1 species